UACGAAGGGGGCUAGCGUUGCUCGGAAUCAUUGGGCGUAAAGGGUGCGUAGGUGGCGCUGUAAGUCGGGUGUGAAAUUUCGGAGCUUAACUCCGAAACUGCAUUCGAUACUGCGGUGCUUGAGGACUGGAGAGGAGACUGGAAUUCAUGGUGUAGCAGUGAAAUGCGUAGAUAUCGUAAGGAAGACCAGUGGCGAAGGCGGGUCUCUGGACAGUUCCUGACGCUGAGGCACGAAGGUCAGGGGAGCAAACGGG
rnacentral:rRNA from 1 species